rnacentral:rRNA from 1 species
UACAGAGGUCCCAAGCGUUGUUCGGAUUCACUGGGCGUAAAGGGCGCGUAGGCGGCCUGUUAAGUCGAACGUGAAAUCCCUAGGCUCAACCUAGGAACUGCGUCCGAUACUGGCAGGCUUGAAUCCGGGAGAGGGAUGCGGAAUUCCAGGUGUAGCGGUGAAAUGCGUAGAUAUCUGGAGGAACACCGGUGGCGAAGGCGGCAUCCUGGACCGGCAUUGACGCUGAGGCGCGAAAGCCAGGGGAGCAAACGGG